rnacentral:rRNA from 1 species
UACGGAGGAUGCGAGCGUUAUCCGGAUUUAUUGGGUUUAAAGGGUGCGUAGGCGGGCUUUUAAGUCAGCGGUAAAAAUUCGGGGCUCAACCCCGUCCGGCCGUUGAAACUGGGGGCCUUGAGUGGGCGAGAAGAAGGCGGAAUGCGUGGUGUAGCGGUGAAAUGCAUAGAUAUCACGCAGAACCCCGAUUGCGAAGGCAGCCUUCCGGCGUCCUACUGACGCUGAGGCACGAAAGUGCGGGGAUCGAACAGG